rnacentral:misc_RNA from 1 species
UUGGUGGAGCUUCCACUGAGACAUCCACAGCUAUUCAAAUCAAUUGGUGUGAAGCCGCCAAAAGGAAUUCUACUUUAUGGACCUCCUGGUUCUGGGAAGACUCUAAUUGCCCGGGCCGUUGCCAAUGAAACUGGUGCUUUUUUCUUCUGUAUUAAUGGACCUGAGAUCAUGUCCAAAUUGGCUGGGGAAAGUGAAAGCAAUCUCAGAAAAGCUUUUGAGGAAGCAGAGAAGAAUGCACCAUCCAUUAUUUUUAUUGAUGAGAUUGAUUCAAUUGCUCCUAAGCGGGAGAAGACACAUGGUGAAGUUGAGAGGAGGAUAGUAUCCCAGCUCUUGACACUUAUGGAUGGACUUAAAUCCCGUGCUCAUGUUAUUGUCAUUGGGGCCACAAAUCG